AAUAUUGGACAAUGGGGGCAACCCUGACCCAGCCAUGCCGCGUGUGUGAAUAAGGUCAUCGGAUUGUAAAGCACUUUAAGUUGGGAGGAAGGGCUUUAGGUUAAUACGCUGAAAUUUUGACGUUACCAACAGAAUAAGCACCGGCUAACUCUGUGCCAUCAGCUGCGGUAAUACAGAGGGUGCAAGCGUUAAUCGGCAUUACGGGGCGUAAAGCGCGCGUAGGUGGUUCAGUAAGAUGGGUGUGAAAUCCCCGGGCUUAACCUGGGAACUGCUUUCAUAACUGAUGAGCUAGAGUACGGUAGAGGGUAGUGGAAUUUCCUGUGUAGCGGUGAAAUGCGUAGAUAUAGGAAGGAACACCAGUGGCGAAGGCGACUACCUGGACUGAUACUGACACUGAGGUGCGAAAGCGUGGGGAGCAAAC
rnacentral:rRNA from 1 species